CUGCCGCUUGAGUGGUUUAAUUAAAUUUUCCUUAGUUUAUGGUCAUCUUUCUUAGUGUUUAGUAGUGAGUCACAUAGUUAGACAGAUAUUCCCAUAUACAUUCAGUGUUUGUUUAUGUACAUACCACCUAGUCGUGCAGUCACAAUGAACCCAGGUGAUAACAGGCUGAUUUUGCAAAACAACCCUUAUUGACAUUGGAAUCCUCAACCGCCAAAGGCAAGCGCCAAAUUUAAAUAGUCGAUACCAAUAAAAGCCUUGUUUCACUAUAAUUGUAAUUCGUGUGACUUGAAUGAAAAUGAAGGAAACAGUAAGCAGCUUGUAAUAUUCUGGUAAAUCUAGUGUCAAUUUGUCGAAAUUAAUUUUAUUUCUAGUUAGAAACAAACACUGCUGCCAACAUAAAUUGAGGAGUCCUCAACCGUUAUUUGAUUUAAACUAUGACGCUUCUCUAUGUUCUCUGGUUAUACGGUUCUUAAACUUAGAGAACUUGCACGGACAAAAUUGAGCUGGGCGAAGACCUGUGCUAUACAUGCCUGUACAUACUUUAUACACACGCUCAAUCAUUUUGGUUUGGAAAAUAUUGCACAAGCUGCAUAACUGACAUUCAGUCGCGUCUCAAAUUGGUCAAAUGGUUAAAAUGCGUCCGCAAAAUUCUCCAACAGACAGUCAAUCAAGCUUGUACAAAAAGUUUGUACAUAUAUGCUUGUCAAGCUUUUUGUUACGUGUGCAUCCUCCUACCACUAACCAUUCAAUCUGUUUUGGUCAAUACUCUUUCUUAAAUAAUUUUUCAAGUAUUUAAAUAAUGAAAAUGAUCGUUCGGUAGUAGUAUGCACAGUUAUGCUCACAUAAAUUCCGUACAAUCUUAUUUUUACGUUGUGUGGUGUGGAAAUCAAUACAAAAUCAAUAGCAUAGAUACAAAAUCAGAUUGUCAUCUAAUUAUUAGCGAUUAUUUGAGCAUGACUGUACUUGUUUUCAUGGAAAAAUUACAAAAAUUUUUGGUAAACUUUUUAUGUUGAGAAAAAAAUGUUUCAUUACUAGAAUACGAAUCUUUUCGCAACAGCAGAGCAAUAAACUUGUGCACAUUUCAUGACCAGUAUUGGUUCGGGCGAGUUCAAUUUAAGAGUGGUGAAAAGCAUGGGGCGAAAUUUUUAUAAAUAAUUGAGAUAUGUAUUAUAAUUCAGCUUUAAUUUCGGCUGACAGAAUUGGCGUCAUAAGGAAACAUCUUGCAUUGUAUAAAUUAUUGUUAUGUGCAAUUAAUACUUAAGGGUUUAGGCAUUUUCUUGUACUUUUCUUAUCUUAUUAUAAUAUAGUUAUCCUCAUUUAAUGGCCACAAUAAAGACAUACAAUUUGAUAGUGUUAAAGUAAAAAUUAAUGAUAAUAUCCCAGUUAAAACUUCGCGGGAUAUAUGAGAACAAAUAGAGAUAUUGAAAUUUUGUAAACUCCCAGGACUACCACCAUUUUACGACAGUUUGAACACAUCCUAAAAUAACUGCUUUUGAAAUGGACCUUGUUGGUUCUAAAAUAAAGUAUGAAUGCUUUAUUUCA